rnacentral:rRNA from 1 species
CUCACCAGGUCAGGACACGGUAAGGAUUGACGGACUGAAGGCUCUUUCUCGAUUCCGUGGAAAGUGGUGCAUGGCCGUUUUUGGUUGUGGAUCGAUCCGUCUGGUUAAUUCCGUUAACGAACGAGACCUCGGCACUCCGAAUAGCGCGGCGGACGUCGCGGCCUCCGGGCCGUCUUCCGCACGAGCUUCUUAGAGGGACCGUCCCCCGCCGGGGAAGGAGGUGCGAGGCAACGACAGGUCUGUGAUGCCCUUAGAUGUUCUGGGCCGCACGCGCAUUACACUGACGCGUCCAACGGGUGACUCCCGACCCGAAGGGGCCGGGGAAUCCGCAAGGCGCGUCGUGAUGGGGAUUGAACGUUGCAAUUGUUGUUCACGAACGAGGAAUUCCUAGUAGGCGCGGGUCAUCAACCCGCGCCGAUUACGUCCCUGCCCUUUGUACACACC